UUAGCAUUCUCAAGCAGUCUCCCAUCCAAGUACAAACCAGGCUUGGCCCUGCUUACCUUCUGAGAUCAGAUGGGAUCAGGUGUAUUCAGGGUGGUACGGCCAUAGACAACAAUUUAAACUGAGACUAGUCAACAUAUUUAUGUGUUCUUCACCUACAUUCAGCUACAGAAAAGACUAGCACAUGAAUUGAUGAAUCCCAAUACAAAUGGCUUCGUCUAAUGUGCUGAAGGUCUGAAUGGAACAAGAAGGCAGGAAGAAGGAAAGGAUAAUAUUUUAGAAGUGGCUCUCAGGAGCAGGCAGCACUCCACUGUCUACAUUGCAGUGUAGACUGAAACGAUCUAAGCUCCACUGUAGUCAGUGUUCCAUCUGUACUCCAGACUCAGGCACUGUGUAGAAUACUUCAUAUGCACCGUUUGACUUAUUCCUCAUAACAAUCUCACAUGGGACAGAGCUCUAGUGGCGCUCCGCAAACUGAAACGAAGGACGCCUCUGCCACCUCCUGGACACUCUGAGAAAUUCAAAGGAUUUUUCCACAGGAAGAGGGUAUAUGCUUUAUUCUUUCCUUACCAUAAUUUUUGUGGCCUUUGCUAGGCAGUGGAGGUAAAUAUACACAUUUAAUUUUCCCACAUUUAACUGAAUGCUUCCUAUAAGUUUUAUUGACUAUUUAGAAGGGCAAUGGGGAUUUGGGGCCUUGGGCCUAGAGAAAUAAUAGUUUCUGAAUGUUUUUUUGGCCCAGGGAGAGUUUUCUGAUUUCUCCAUAAAAGGUGAGAACUGAGUAGGGCUUGUGAGAAAUAGGCUCUUGGUUGUCAAGGGAAAAAAGGACACAUACACACACACACACACACACACACACACACACACACACACAUUCCAUUCUGUGUUUGUAGUUGGGUAAGUUCAUGAAGAUUCUUGAAGAAAAAAGCCGUACUGUGAGACUUUCUAGUAUCAAGAUCACUUACCAUUCAGAUGUUAGUUCACUAAAAGGGAGGGUGACAUGAUACGUUAAAUGACUUUCUUGAUUACAAGAAGAGGAAAAAGAGAACCAAAGUAAAAUGGGAUUUUGUAGAACACAGAAAAAGCUUAAAACAAAAGGUCACUUAGAGAGUUCUAAAUUCUCAGGUAAGGGUUUAAGAACUUCUCUGACAACAUGAGUUAGAAUUCUGAGGGGAGAAGAAUGAACCAGGCUUUUGUGAGAUUCUUGUUCAAGAUGGUGUUGUAGGAAAAUCCAGAACUCACUCUCUCCCCACAACACACCCCAAGCCUACAGCUAUAUAUGGAACAAUUUUUUUUUCCUGAAAAAACCCUAAAAACUAGCUGAGCAACUCCUACACAUUGGGCAAACGAGAGAAAAAAAAAAAAAAGCCACAUCAAAGUUGGUUGAAGAGCCCAAGACACAAUCUUGCCGUAAACCCCACUCUCAGCACUGUGACCUAUAAUCAGGAGGGAGCUCAAAACCCGGAGCUUCUCCCUGAAGAGCAAAGGGUUUGAAUUCCACAUCAGACACCUCAAAUUUUAAGACCUGCACCUGAGAGAUAAGCUCAUAAAAUAUCCAAUUUUGAAGAUCAAUGGGCCUCAUGUCCACAAGACCCACAGGCUAUAGCAAACUGAGAAAUGAAAUUUGUUAUUGUAACAAAAAAACCCAAAGAUCUGAAAUUGCUUUUUUUCUGUUUUUUUAAAACAUUCUAAAAAGUGAGACUGAAACUUCCAUUAACUUUAUGUCAGAAAGUACUUCACAUCAGUUGGUUGAAUUAUCCCACAAUAAAAAAGCAAACCAGCCAAACUGAAAACAUUUGCAGCCCCAUUAUUAUUAAUUUUUUUCCCUGAUUUGACCCUAGUCUCUUCUCCAACAUGAAAGCUAUCUGGCCCUAUUUGGUCAAGAGCGAUUUUAAACCUAAGUAUUAGGUUUUGAAGGUGUCAUUUCUCAAGGGAGGAACAAAAGUAAUAGGCUGC